GAGCACACCACCUUCUCCUUAAACUACCCUUCCUCACUUGGCUGCUAAAAAGAAGCCUCUCAGCAUGGAGCUACCAUGUUAGAACAGUAGUUCAGGGCAAUAGUGCUGAGGUAAUGGUGGUGCUCCACAGCAGGUCUCCUGAGGCACCGGCAUCUCAACCCUCUGUUCAGCCCCAGAGGCCACUGCUCCAGCACAGCCUGGGUUCUCCAACCGCCUUCAGCCCGAGCUCCUGGAGGCUGGGAAGAGCAGCCAGAGGCUGGUACACACAUGGAACUGGGGUCGCUCUUUCCAGGUGAAAACCCUGCGCUCUGCCCGUGCUCUGGCAUGUUCCAACAGCGGCAGGCUGCACAAGGAAACGGAGCUGGUGCUGGUCAACAUCAGCCAGUGUGUGAAGGAGCCAACGCAGUCAAAUGAGAAACUAGGGCACAAGAUCCAGUGGGAAAUCAAGAAGACUGCACUGCUGCCAGGAGAAAAGGAGCAUGUUCAAGACCCACUGCAGGAGGAAGACACAUACCUCAUGGUUGGAACACAUGAGCAACACCACAAGUCUGAGCAGCUGAAGGGCAAGAACUUCACAUUACCAGCCCCGCACAAUUCUGCAGGGCUGUCUCCACCCCACUCUUGCCCAAGGGACAAGAAACAGUGCAAAACAAAGCAAGGAUUAGACUGACAACUUUUAAACAAAUAAAAUCUUUUCUGUUCUGUAGCAAAA